ACAGAAUAUUUCAGAUCUGUAUCAAGCAGGCAACUUGUUAUAUUGGGUGCUGUUACUGUGAGGAUCAAAUCAGAGACCUUAUUUGAAGAUGACUGAGAGAUUCUAGAACCUUUCAAAUGUGUGUGCUCUGUUUUUAGAAGCACUAUGGGGCUGUGUCUCCCAAUGGAGGCACUACAUUGGUUAGUUACCUACAGGUAAGAACUUAGGGAUUAACUCAGCUUAUACAUGAUUAUCUAUAUGCUCCAAAGGAGGGGGACCUCUCUGGGAACAUCUCUGCCUCUCUGCACACAGUCAGUCAUCCAGACUUUAGGCAAUCAGAACACAGAAGAACCAUGAGGCAUGGCUUGAUGUUUUCCUCAUCAAGCACAUCUAUUUAUCUCUUUGUCUCUGGAAGAUACCAGCACAUGGGUUCCCACAUUACUGACUACAGGUAAGAAUGUUAAAUUCCACCUCCAUAAAAACAAUGGGGAAAAUACAGUGAAAUAGUGUGACCCAGGCUGAUUUUGCCUUUUGUGGCCAUGGAAUUCACAGUAGUGGGGAUUCUUUCUUAGGAAAGAAAUCAUGUAGCACUUCUUUGUUGCUAUUUGUGCCCCUCCUUGGGGCAUAAGCUCGUGAUGCAGCCUGGGUGUUUACCUGAAUUUAUCAUUUAUUUGAGGAGAACUACUUCUGAAGAAUAAACUUGUCAUAGAAAAUGAAUAUAUUUCUCUACAGAGGAACUAAACACAACUCUCUUAUAAUAGUAGGGCUACAUCUUAUAAAAUUCCUGUCAGAAACAGGAAGCAACAAACAAUGGAAGUAACCCAUGUGCUCCCAGAAUAGCACAGCAUGGGCAUAGUCCAGGAGGAAGCAACAAAGACGUCUUCUAAAAAUAUUUAUUUAUUUAUUUAUUUAUUUAUUUAUUUAUUUAUUUAUUUAUUUAUUUAUUUAUUUAUUGUGCAUGUGUGUAUAUGUGUACGAACAUACACACACAAUGAACAUAUACAUAGACACACACACAGACACACACACAGACACACACAGACACACACAGACACACACACAAACCACACACACACCACAGCAAGAGGAGCUUAGAGGUCAACUUGCAGGAGACAGAUCAUCUACUCUACGAAUGUUGGAGUUUAAACACAGGCCAUCAGCUUUGGAACAAGUGCCUUUCCCUGCUGAACUUCCCAUCAGCUGUGGAUCAUAUUUUCCUUUAAUCACCUAUACUGGCGUUUCAUUGGCUUUUAAAUUUCAUUCAUUUCCCUCUCUUUGCUACCUGAGUCUCAAAGAUCAAACUCAAGUUGUAAGUUUAGGCAGUAACCACUUUACCCACUGAGACAUCUCAACAGCCAGGAGAGUAGGUCUUGAGUGGUACAGUGGCUGACAAAAAAUAAUGUGUAAAAGUAACUUGGGCACCAGGUAGCAGUAACUUUUAUUCUCUUAUAGUAAUUUUCAUCUCUAAAGGCUUACAUUUGUUGUCAAGGGAUUUGAAAUGGAGUUUCUCAUUUGUAAUGCAUGAAGAGUCUGUCUAUAUCAUUUAAGUUGUCUUUUGGGGUAGUUUACUGUGAUUCUCUAUCUCAGAGGCUCCUGAAUCUUUCCUUGCUCUGGGCUCCAGGUUCUGGGGUCUUCCAAGUUUCUUCAGACC
rnacentral:lncRNA from 1 species